GUUGGAUUUGACCAACUCUGAACCCUCUAGCUCAUGAGUGUGGAAUCUUCCACUAUGAAGAAAUAGAGCACCCUGCUCCCCUCAGCCUUUCGAGGCAUUCACAGAAGGCACUCGGGAAUCUGACUUCGAAGGCCCCACCCACUGAGGAUUCCUGACACCGCCAAUGGCAGUCUCAUCUGGAAGAUGUGGGAAAGGGGGACCCUGCAGGGACUUCUCUCAUGAUUUCCUCAUUUUGGGAACAAUGAGUAACAGGCUACUGUACCUUUCACAUUGACAUUCAUGAUGGACUCUCUGUGAGUGACACCGAAGACGUCAAUGAUACAGGCGGU